GGAUGUCGUUUAACGACAAACCAAUCUCAAAACCCUCGUCUGCUACCUUCAUCGUCUUCCUCCCCUAUUUUUCUCUUUGCAAGCACCACUCCACCUAAACCAAAGGAUCAGUACCACUACGAUAGACCACCCAUAUAAGAAUAAUCUUAGAAGCUGGAGGUGUCGAUGUUGCUGAAGAGCCUUGGAGAGUCAGUUACCAGAGUUGUGAGUCAUCAAAGCUAGAAGCAGGAGGUGGAUCCCUAGAAGCAUGUGGUGGAGACCUAGAACCAGGAGGUGGCAGUCCUUAUCGAAACAUAGAGGAAGCCGAUAGUGUUGGCAUCCAAAUCUACUCUCUGUUGUGCUUAUCUAGAAUUAAAAUCUGACCUCUUUGCCAUACACUAUAAAUAUCCAAGUUUGUUCUACUUUCUUUAUUGUGUUCCCCUAUAUUUGUUUACAAAAAAAGGAGUGAGGGAAGGAGAAAUUUUGAGACUAAGGAGGAACCUGAGAAGUAUAAACUAAUUUCCGAAACAAGGUACUGAACAUGAAGUUUAAUUUUCCCUUUUGAAGAGCUUGUGAUUAAUAUGAAGGAAGUGUGAGACUUGUUUUGUUUAGUUUCCUAGAAUAAGAGCAAAGGCUGCCAGUUUGUAGUUUGCCUUUGAAGUAUAGGUUUGAAAUUUCUGUGGGAAUAAUGAACUAUCAAGAAAGUUUGUACUGUAAUCUAUAUAAUUAUGUUUGCUGCAAUAUAAAUUUCUUUUUUUUCCAUAA